rnacentral:tRNA from 1 species
UGGCCCCAUCGUCUAGCCCGGUCUAGGACAUCAGGUUUUCAUCCUGGUAACAGGGGUUCGAAUCCCCUUGGGGUCAAC